rnacentral:ncRNA from 2 species
CCCAGCGUUGAAACGCUGGGCUAUUCUCGGGUGUCCCUACGGGACG